GACGAACGCUGGCGGCGUGCUUAACACAUGCAAGUCGAACGGAAAGGCCCUGCUUUUGUGGGGUGCUCGAGUGGCGAACGGGUGAGUAACACGUGAGUAACCUGCCCUUGACUUUGGGAUAACUUCAGGAAACUGGGGCUAAUACCGGAUAGGAGCUCCUGCUGCAUGGUGGGGGUUGGAAAGUUUCGGCGGUUGGGGAUGGACUCGCGGCUUAUCAGCUUGUUGGUGGGGUAGUGGCUUACCAAGGCUUUGACGGGUAGCCGGCCUGAGAGGGUGACCGGCCACAUUGGGACUGAGAUACGGCCCAGACUCCUACGGGAGGCAGCAGUGGGGAAUAUUGCACAAUGGGCGGAAGCCUGAUGCAGCAACGCCGCGUGCGGGAUGACGGCCUUCGGGUUGUAAACCGCUUUCGCCUGUGACGAAGCGUGAGUGACGGUAAUGGGUAAAGAAGCACCGGCUAACUACGUGCCAGCAGCCGCGGUGAUACGUAGGGUGCGAGCGUUGUCCGGAUUUAUUGGGCGAAAAGGGCUCGUAGGUGGUUGAUCGCGUCGGAAGUGUAAUCUUGGGGCUUAACCCUGAGCGUGCUUUCGAUACGGGUUGACUUGAGGAAGGUAGGGGAGAAUGGAAUUCCUGGUGGAGCGGUGGAAUGCGCAGAUAUCAGGAGGAACACCAGUGGCGAAGGCGGUUCUCUGGGCCUUUCCUGACGCUGAGGAGCGAAAGCGUGGGGAGCGAACAGGCUUAGAUACCCUGGUAGUCCACGCUGUAAACGGUGGGUACUAGGUGUGGGGUCCAUUCCACGGGUUCCGUGCCGUAGCUAACGCUUUAAGUACCCCGCCUGGGGAGUACGGCCGCAAGGCUAAAACUCAAAGGAAUUGACGGGGCCCCGCACAAGCGGCGGAGCAUGCGGAUUAAUUCGAUGCAACGCGUAGAACCUUACCUGGGUUUGACAUGGAUCGGGAGUGCUCAGAGAUGGGUGUGCCUCUUUUGGGGUCGGUUCACAGGUGGUGCAUGCCUGUCGUCAGCUCGUGUCGUGAGAUGUUGGGUUAAGUCCCGCAACGAGCGCAACCCUUGUUCACUGUUGCCAGCACGUUAUGGUGGGGACUCAGUGGAGACCGCCGGGGUCAACUCGGAGGAAGGUGGGGAUGACGUCAAGUCCUCAUGCCCCUUAUGUCCAGGGCUUCACGCAUGCUACAAUGGCUGGUACAGAGAGUGGCGAGCCUGUGAGGGUGAGCGAAUCUCGGAAAGCCGGUCUCAGUUCGGAUUGGGGUCUGCAACUCGACCUCAUGAAGUCGGAGUCGCUAGUAAUCGCAGAUCAGCAACGCUGCGGUGAAUACGUUCCCGGG
rnacentral:rRNA from 1 species